rnacentral:rRNA from 1 species
AUGGCGGGGUCGAGGUUCGGGUCGUUCAAGUCGGACAAGGGGGACUCGGCCGCGGCGGCGGCGGCGCCGCCGCAGAGGAAGGACCCGUACGAGGUGCUCGGUGUGGCCCGCACCGCCACCGACCAGGAGAUCAAGAGCGCCUUCCGCCGCAUGGCGCUCAAGUACCAUCCGGAUAAGAAUGCUGAUGACCCUGUCGCAUCAGACAAGUUCCAGGAAGUCACCUUUUCUUACAGCAUUCUGUCGGAUCCCCAUAAGAGGCGGCAGUACGACACGUCAGGAUUCGAGGCCAUCGAAACUGAUAGCCAGGAAUUGGAGCUGGACCUAUCCAGUCUCAAUACCGUAAACACCAUGUUUGCAGCUAUUUUCAGCAAGCUUGGUGUACCAAUUAAGACAACUGUUUCAGCAACUGUUUUGGAGGAAGCAUUAAAUGGGUCUAUUGUGGUUUCGCAGCUCCAGCUAGGAAACCCUGUGCGCAAGAAGGUGGAAAAGCAAACAGCUCAUUUUUAUUCUGUAGACAUCACAGAACAGGAAGCUAAGAAGGGGCUAGUUUGCCGUGUGCAUUCAACUGAAAAAAGCAAAUUUAAGCUGCUUUAUUUUGAGCUCGAAGAAAAUGGUGGGUUGAGCCUUGCACUUCAGGAAGAUAGUGUAAAGGCCAGCAAAGUUUCUUCUGCAGGAAUGUACUUUCUUGGGUUCCCUGUGUAUCGUUUUGAGCAAAAUAACUCAGCACCAGCUGCGAAGGAUCCUGAUAGUGCAUUCUUUAAAAGGUUGGAUAGUUUCCAACCAUGUGACAUUAAUGAACUGAAACCAGGAACCCACUUUUUUGCCGUCUAUGGUGACAAUUUCUUCAAAAGUGCAACAUAUACUAUAGAGAUUGUUUGCGCUGAAUCUUUCCCUACUGAAAAGGAGAAGCUACAGAGUGUUGAGGCAAAGAUACUCACAAAAAGAGCUGAGCUGUCUAAAUUCGAGACAGAGUACCGUGAAGUCUUGGCAAAGUUCACAGAAAUGACUAGCAAAUACACACAAGAAAUGCAAACGAUUGACGAGCUUCUUAAUGAAAGGAAUGUAAUCCAUGCAUCCUAUACCAACAAUCCACCUCUAAAACGGACUUCGAGCAGGAAUAAAUCUAAAUCAUCACCUUCUUUCAAAUUUGAUGAAGAAAAAAACCAGAGGAAAGAAAAGAAAGUGAAGGAUCAGCACAUGGAGGGCUGCGGAAGUGAAGAUGACGACUCGAGUGAAAAGAAAACCAAAGAGCGGUUCCCAAGGAAGAGAUGGCUAAACAUCCCUUUCAAAGUUGACAGGAGAAAGCCAUGCUGA